UACAUGGAUGCAGUCAGGCUUUAGGUCUGGCCACAGCACUGUUUCAGCAACAUGGAGGGUUUUACAUGGAUGCAGUCAGGCUUUAGGUCUGGCCACAGCACUGUUUCAGCAACAUGGAGGGUUUUACAUGGAUGCAGUCAGGCUUUAGGUCUGGCCACAGCACUGUUUCAGCAACAUGGAGGGUUUUACAUGGAUGCAGUCAGGCUUUAGGUCUGGCCACAGCACUGUUUCAGCAACAUGGAGGGUUUUACAUGGAUGCAGUCAGGCUUUAGGUCUGGCCACAGCACUGUUUCAGCAACAUGGAGGGUUUUACAUGGAUGCAGUCAGGCUUUAGGUCUGGACACAGCACUGUUUCAGCAACAUGGAGGGUUUUACAUGGAUGCAGUCAGGCUUUAGGUCUGGACACAGCACUGUUUCAGCAACAUGGAGGGUUUUACAUGGAUGCAGUCAGGCUUUAGGUCUGGCCACAGCACUGUUUCAGCAACAUGGAGGGCAGGUAUGAUGUCAGGCUUGUUUUGUUCUGGUGGUGAUCUACCUUGCGUAGGUUUAAACACUGGUAUACACUGAUUUAUAAGGUCAUAUUGUAGGUUUAAACACUGGUAUACACUGAUUUAUAAGGUCAUAUUGUAG
ensembl:lncRNA